CAGCAGCCACGGUAAUACGUAGGGUGCGAGCGUUAAUCGGAAUUACUGGGCGUAAAGCGUGCGCAGGCGGUUGUGUAAGACAGGUGUGAGAUCCCCGGGCUUAACCUGGGAACUGCGCUUGUGACUGCACAGCUAGAGUAUGGCAGAGGGGGGUGGAAUUCCACGUGUAGCAGUGAAAUGCGUAGAGAUGUGGAGGAACACCGAUGGCGAAGGCAGCCCCCUGGGCCAAUACUGACGCUCAUGCACGAAAGCGUGGGGAGCAAACAGGAUUAGAUACCCGCGUAGUCCCUGUCUCUUAUAC
rnacentral:rRNA from 1 species